UACGGAGGGGGCGAGCGUUGUCCGGAAUCAUUGGGCGUAAAGCGUGUGUAGGCGGCCCGGUAAGUCCGCUGGGAAAGUCAAGGGCUCAACCCUUGGAUGCCGGUGGAUACUGCAGGGCUAGAGUCCGGAAGAGGCGAGUGGAAUUCCUGGUGUAGCGGUGAAAUGCGCAGAUAUCAGGAGGAACACCGAUGGCGAAGGCAGCUCGCUGGGACGGUACUGACGCUGAGGCGCGAAAGCGUGGGGAGCAAACAGG
rnacentral:rRNA from 1 species